AGAUGUAGUACAUUUUAAAAUUCAGGUCAGAUUUGUAAAUUGGGUCAAAGUUGAUGAUUUAAAUGAUAAUACUAGAUUAGUAAUAUGAUUGGUUGAUAAAAAUAAUCCAAGUUAACUUAUCAUUUACUUUGAUAAAUUGAUUAAUUUUGAAUUUGUAUGAUCAUAUUAUUCUUUAAAGUGUUAAGUAUUAAUUUCACUCCUAACAUAUAGGCCCUUAUCAUGUCUGACACCCUAUGGCCGAGGGGGUGUCAACUAAGCCCAUGAAGUACCUAAUUUUCUCCAAUUAAGCCCUCUGCCAUAACAGAGAGUUAACUCCGUCCAUUUUUUUAAAAAUUUAUUUCGAUAGGUGCCAACGUGAUACCCCUUCGGCCAUAGGGUGUAGAAAAUUAGGUACUUCAGGGGCUUAGUUGGCACCUCAUCGGCCAUUGGGUGCCAGACGUG
rnacentral:lncRNA from 1 species